rnacentral:rRNA from 1 species
UUAAACAAGAGAGUUUGAUCCUGGCUCAGGAUGAACGCUGGCGGCGUGCCUAACACAUGCAAGUCGAACGAAG